rnacentral:sRNA from 1 species
GUUCGACUCGAGCGCCAGCGAGAGAGCGUUGCCGCAGGCAACGACCCGUAGGGCGAAGCGCGCAGCGCUGAGUAAUCCUUCCCCCACCACCA